ensembl:lincRNA 5830405F06Rik RIKEN cDNA 5830405F06 gene
GUGCUGUCAGGUGAAUGGCUAAACACAGACCUCUUUCUGCACUGAAGUUCCAGCAAAUGGUCUGACUGACUUCUUUUAUGUGUACCUGCAUGGAAUUAGAAAGUAGUUGGAGAUACAAGAACUGGGAACCUACAGAUGAGAAAAUGGGGUGCUUAAAAAUGAAUUGCUGAUUUCCACAUAACAUGACCUGUAUGAUCCACAGGCCCUUUGGAGACGGCUGUUUUCCAGACUCCAAACUACCAUGUCACACAGGUGGGAAAUGAAGUGUCUUUCAAUUGUAAGCAAACUCUGGGCCACGAUACUAUGUAUUGGUACAAGCAAGACUCUAAGAAAUUGCUGAAGAUUAUGUUUAGCUACAAUAAUAAGCAACUCAUUGUAAACGAAACAGUUCCAAGGCGCUUCUCACCUCAGUCUUCAGAUAAAGCUCAUUUGAAUCUUCGAAUCAAGUCUGUAGAGCUGGAGGACUCUGCUGUGUAUCUCUGUGCCAGCAGCUAAGACACAGUUGUGCAGAGUCACUGUUUCCCUGUGCACAAACCCAGCCAGCGAGGAAGCAGUGCAGGCCAAGUGCUAACCACCUGAGGCUCCAUGUCCCCAGAGCUUUUGAAGCAUCAGUGGUAUUUCAGUCUGAAAUUCAGCCUCCUACGAUAAUACAUGAGGUGAACCAGUUCUGUGUUUUAUGCACCGAUGAGUCUCACUGAAUUCUACAGAUUAGACAGAAUGGUAGUUCACAUCAUAGUCAUCCAGAUGCUCUGAGUUACUUACUUCUUAUAGAAGUACAGUUUUAUCCUAGUGUUUGAAUGCAUUUUGAAGGGUCAAGUUCAGCAUUGUUCUUAUUAUUAGGUAGCCCUACAAUAUAGCUAUUAUUGCUAGUAAACAGACUUUCCAUUGAAGUUGAAGUGUAGUUACUUAUCAAUAUCUCUCCCAUGUACUGGGGGUUGAAUCCCAGAGUUUUCCAUCCUAAGUGUCUGCUGAAAACUCCUCUCAGCUCUCCAGCCUUCUAGACUAUUCUCCACUCAGGCUUCAGGUAGCACAUCCUCUGCAUGCACAAAUUGAAUAGUGUUCUCCCCCUUCAAAAAUAUCUUUACUCAGAUUCUUGGGUCUACUUUGCACUUCUAUGCACCCCAAGAUCUAUCUGUAUUGGAAUCUAUUUAACUUCAAACACUAUGCAUUAUGGUGAUUUUUCAAUAUAACCACAGCAGUAAGUGAAUACUCCAAUUUAUUUAGGGAUCAUGGAUCAUUUUACUGUGUUUAUUAGUAUCCUUUCAUUUCCGAGCCUAAAAACAAAGACUCAACACUUUCAUAAAAAUUAGUUGGAAUAAAGAUAAUAUCUGAUGGCUAAGUAGUAAAGUGCAUAUACAUUUUAUUCAAAGGAAUAGAAGUUACCAUGGUGGGCCUCCCCAGUUAAUCUCACUGGAUGGGCAUGGGACAUCAUGAUGAUGCUGGUUCCAUUUCUAACAUUUCAAAAAUGGACAUAACUGGGGAUAUUCCAUCUCAGCUUCUCUGGUUGUAUAGAUGUGAAAUUGUAUUAUACAUAGGAAAUAAUUUAAAUGCUACAAUACAAAUGACACCCUUAAAUGUAUUAGAAUUUUAUUUUAUAGUUGUUAUCUAUGAAUACUCUUAAUUGUCCUGCUAAUCUGUAGGUGAACAUAGUAUUUUGUUUCCUGCUCUCAAUCAUUGGUCACUGAAGAUGGAAUAAACAAAUUUAGUCCAUAAACUC